rnacentral:rRNA from 1 species
AGCGAACGCUGGCGGCAGGCCUAACACAUGCAAGUCGAACGAACUCUUCGGAGUUAGUGGCGGACGGGUGAGUAACACGUGGGAACGUGCCUUUAGGUUCGGAAUAACUCAGGGAAACUUGUGCUAAUACCGAAUGUGCCCUUCAGGGGAAAGAUUUAUCGCCUUUAGAGCGGCCCGCGUCUGAUUAGCUAGUUGGUGAGGUAAUGGCUCACCAAGGCGACGAUCAGUGGCUGGUCUGAGAGGAUGAUCAGCCACAUUGGGACUGAGACACGGCCCAAACUCCUACGGGAGGCAGCAGUGGGGAAUCUUGCGCAAUGGGCGAAAGCCUGACGCAGCCAUGCCGCGUGAAUGAUGAAGGUCUUAGGAUUGUAAAAUUCUUUCACCGGGGACGAUAAUGACGGUACCCGGAGAAGAAGCCCCGGCUAACUUCGUGCCAGCAGCCGCCGCGG